GGCAGAAGAUGAGACUGACCUCAAUCUGUCAACAAGACUGUGGAGAAGAAAGACUAACUACUGUCUAUCCUGAAAUUGAUGGCAGGGGGUUAUGCUGGCAUUGAUCCUAUUUCCAAGAGAUAGCAGGCUGUCAUGAUUCAGUGAGAGUCCAAUGAGAUCAACUUGAACCUGUAAAUAAAGGCAGAGUGGCAUCAAUAUAUUGUUUCUGUAAUAGCUAGCAGACAAAUAUGCUUCAACAAUAGUGCAGAGAGUAAGGUUUGGACUGCAGCCUGAUGUAGUCGUAAUGAAGAAACUAAAAAGUCAGGACUCAGAAGAACUUUUUCUUCAAAUUGGACACAUUAGAUAGCUUGGAGAAUCAAAUGGACAGUGCUCAGUGUACAUUAUUGUUAACAAAGUGAUGGACACAUUAAAUAGAUAAACUCACAAAAGUCAAUGUACAAUAACAAGGUUUAAUUCAUUGUUAUUAAUAAAGCCAUGGACACACUAAACAGCUUAAUGCAAAGAAUCCAAUGGACAGUGCUGAUGAGUUCAUUGUUAUCAACAAAGUGAUGGACACACUAAAUAGCUUAACUCAAAGAAUUUAAUGGACCGUGCUGAGUAUGUUGUUAUUAAUAAAAAAUUAGACACACUAUGAACUUGCUAAACUCAUCGAAUUCAAUGGAUGUGCUGAGGUCAUUAACAAAUAAUUUCAUAUGAACUUUGUGGAUAUAGUCCCUGUGCUCUGCCUCUAAUUUGUAUUGUUCCAAUGGAUUUUUGAGCUUGAAUCCGUAUUUCAUUUGUUUGUUACAUUUACUAGCUGCAGAACUGUAGCUCUCCGAGAUUUUUCUCAAGCAGAGAGCUACAGUUCUGAAGCUAUACAUUAACCUGCAAAAUAUCAACACCACAACAUCAAAUGGAACUGAAUAUGUUUUUUAAUUACAAUUAAAUUAACUUAAAAUGUUGAAUAAACUGUGUUUUAAUUAUUUUCAUGUUAUGCACAAUGUGCAGCUGAAAACAGUCAUACUUGACUUAGGUUAUCUAAGAUUCAUUUUUUCCUUCUCUAGUUUUUCCUGAUAAACAUGACAAGUGAUGCAGUUCUAAUUGUUAUGUAU